CCUACGGGUGGCAGCAGUGAGGAAUAUUGGUCAAUGGCCGGAAGGCUGAACCAGCCAAGCCGCGUGAAGGACGACGGUGCUACGGAUUGUAAACCUCUUUUGUCAAGGGACAAAACGAGCCCCGUGUGGAUCAUUGAGGGUACCCGAAGAAAAAGCAUCGGCUAACUCCGUGCCAGCAGCCGCGGUAAUACGGAGGAUGCGAGCGUUAUCCGGAUUUAUUGGGUUUAAAGGGUGCGUAGGCGGGCGGGUAAGUCAGCGGUAAAAUGGCGGGGCUCAACCCCGGCCUGCCGUUGAAACUGAAUGUAUUGAGGGCGCGAGAGGUAUGCGGAAUGCGUGGUGUAGCGGUGAAAUGCAUAGAUAUCACGCAGAACUCCGAUUGCGAAGGCAGCAUACCGGCGGGAAACUGACGCUGAGGCACGAAAGCGUGGGUAUCGAACAGGAUUAGAUACCCGGGUAGUC
rnacentral:rRNA from 1 species